rnacentral:tRNA from 1 species
UCCCUGGUGGUUCAGAGGUUAAAGUGUCUGCCUCCAAUGCAGGAGACCCGGGUUCGAUACCUGGGUCGGGAA